UACAGAGGUGCCAAGCGUUAGGCGGAAUCACUGGGCUUAAAGCGCGUGUAGGUGGGUCGUUAAGUGUCCGCGUGAAAUCCCACGGCUCACCCGUGGAACUGCUGGGCAUACUGGCGAUCUUGGGCCAACUAGGGGCAGCCGGAACAAGCGGUGGAGCGGUGAAAUGCGUAGAUAUCGCUUGGAACGCCGAAGGUGAAAACAGGCUGCUGGGGUUGCGCCGACGCUGAGACACGAAAGCCAGGGGGGCAAACGGG
rnacentral:rRNA from 1 species